GCUAAAUCCCCGGCCCCAAUUCAAUAUUUAUAUUACUACAAUAUUAAUUUUUAAAACUAUGGUAAAAUAGAUAUAAAAUUUUCCAUUUGAACUAUUUUUAACUGUACAAUUCCACAGCACUAAUUAUAUUCACAAUAUUGUACACCAUCACCACUAUUUCAAAAAUCUUUUAUUAUUUCAAGCAAAAACUCUAUAAUCAUUAAACAAAAGCUCUCCAUCCUCUCUCUCCCUAGAUCAUAAUUCCUAAUCUAUUUUCUGUCUUAUGAAUGCACCUAUUCGGAAUACCUUAUAAGUGUUAUCUGUUAUCAUAGAAUAUUUGUCCUUUCACAUCUAGAUUAUUUUGCUUAGCACAAUACCGUAAAGGCUCAUCUGUAUUAUAUAUAAGAUCUUUAUUCCUUUUUGUAGCUGAAUAAUAUUCUACUGUAUGGAAUUUCAUCAGCUGAUGCACAUUUGGAUUGUUUCUACCUUUUUGCCAUUAUGAAUAUUCUUGUUAUGAAUAUUUGUGUAAUUUUUGGGGGCAGUGCUUGGGAUUGAACCCUGGACCUCGCACAUGCUAGCACCAUUUGUUGAAGAGACUUCCCUCAUUGAAUGGUCUUGUCACCCUUGUCAAAAAUAAACUUCCCAAGGAUGAGUCUGUACCUCAGUGGUAGAGUGUUUGCCUAGCACAAGUGGCCAUGGAUUCAGUGCCCAGUACUGGAAAAAUAAUGACCAUUAACAUACCUUGCGCUUGUGAGGCAGGAGGCAGAACCACUGAGGUAAAUCCCUUGCCCUGGAAUGUUUUUAAAUUUUUUUCACAAUGUAGGCAAAUGGCCAUAAAAUGGAACAAAAUAAAAUGAGGUAUGUCUGUGCUGGAUUUUAUAUUUAUUUGUGUAGUUACCUUUAUUUCUUCACAUGGCGUUGAUUUACUGUUUAGCGUCUUUUCAUUUUAACCUGAAGGACUCUAUUUAGUACUUCUUAUAGGGCAGGUUUGCUAGUGAUGAGGACCUCAACUUUUGAUUAUCUGGGAAUGUCUGAAUUUAUGCUUCAUUUUUGAAGAAUUGUUUUGCAACACAUAGAAUUCUUACUUGACAGAUUUUUUUCUUUUAUGACUUUAAAUAUGUCUUUCUAUUGCCCUAGUCUCCUUGACUGCUGAUGAGAAAUUAGCUUGUAUGUGACAAUCACUUUUCUCUUACUGCUUUCAACCAAGCCACAACUGUGUUCCUUUCCAACAAUUCAUCUGAUUCACUAUCCUCUCAGUGCAACUGGAAAAUUAUGAUGUGCUCAUCUUUCAAUCCCCCUACAGAUUAUUAUCAUCCUUGAAUGAGGAAAGAAAUGUAAAAGUGACAUACCUGAAGUCAUACUGUGAGCUAGGUCUGCUACUCAUAUGUCUGAUGGUUUAUUUCAUUAUAACACUGUGUAAAUGGUAAUUCUCUUGUUUAUAUAUUUUAUUUGUUGUCUGUGCUUUCACUGAAUGUAGACUCCAAAAGAACAGGAAUUUUUUUAUUGAUUAUAUAUAUAUAUAUAUAUUUCCUAUGUCUAGCUUUUAUCAUAGGUAUUUGUUGAAUGAAUGAAUGAUUAUAAAUUUGAUUCAAAUGAAAGAUCAGUGGGGAAAGUAGUUAAUUCAGAAUGUCCCCUGAAGGGAGCUUCUAUUUAAGAGCAUUGAGACCUCUCUAUCUUUAAGCAUCUUUUUACCAUCCUAGUGGUUUAGAUUAAGAACUCUUACAGAUAUUUUGGUCCAGGCUCUCAUCUUACAGAGAGAGAGAAUUUAGCCUCAAAGAUGGGUGAGACACCUAGGAAGGCUGUCAUGAAGCUUAAUUGGGAUUCAGAUGUACUACCCAGCAGUUGAAGGUAUUAUAGAACAUUGUCAUUGUGGAAUAUUAAGUUCUCUAAUGUCAUUUAGGAUGUAAAACUGUGAGAUUAGAGAAGCCAGAUUAUGGCACUGUUAGAGGCAAGAAUGAUAACACAGUUUUCUAUUUCC
rnacentral:lncRNA from 1 species